rnacentral:rRNA from 1 species
UACGUAGGGUGCGAGCGUUGUCCGGAAUUAUUGGGCGUAAAGGGCUCGUAGGCGGUUUGUCGCGUCGGGAGUGAAAUCCACUGGCUUAACUGGUGGCUUGCUUUCGAUACGGGCAGACUGGAGGUAUGCAGGGGAGAACGGAAUUCCUGGUGUAGCGGUGAAAAUGCGUAGAUAUCAGGAGGAACACCGGCGGUGUAGACGGCUUUCUGGACCGUAGCUGACGCUGAGACACGAAAGCGUGGGUAGCAAACAGG